AUUGAACGCUGGCGGCAUGCUUUACACAUGCAAGUCGAACGGUAACAGGCCGCAAGGUGCUGACGAGUGGCGAACGGGUGAGUAAUGCAUCGGAACGUGCCCAGUCGUGGGGGAUAACGCAGCGAAAGCUGCGCUAAUACCGCAUACGAUCUAUGGAUGAAAGCGGGGGACCGUAAGGCCUCGCGCGAUUGGAGCGGCCGAUGUCAGAUUAGGUAGUUGGUGGGGUAAAGGCUCACCAAGCCGACGAUCUGUAGCUGGUCUGAGAGGACGACCAGCCACACUGGGACUGAGACACGGCCCAGACUCCUACGGGAGGCAGCAGUGGGGAAUUUUGGACAAUGGGCGCAAGCCUGAUCCAGCAACGCCGCGUGCAGGAAGAAGGCCUUCGGGUUGUAAACUGCUUUUGUACGGAACGAAACGGUCCGGGUUAAUACCCUGGGCUAAUGACGGUACCGUAAGAAUAAGCACCGGCUAACUACGUGCCAGCCGCCGCCGUAAGAC
rnacentral:rRNA from 1 species